UUGAAAUUUCAACAAACUUGAAUCGGGGUUAACCAAGGGAGCCUGAGUAAACUAGCCCGAGGUUACUGGCAACAAACUAUUCGUUAUUUGAAUAAAGCAGAAUUCUGAUCCAAGGUGGCAACAGAGGAUUGUGAAGGGAUCCAACCAAACCUACAGAUGGAAUUCCGGUGGGAGAGGACAGGUCACAGGUGAUUUUCUUGCUGGUUUGUUUUUAGGAGGGGCUAUUUUUUGAACUCUUGGCUAUGUGUUUGCACCCCAGGUGAUCUAAUAUUCAUAUAAUGGCAUUGCUUUCAGCAUCUCGACACCAUCUAUCUGCAUUUUCGUUGAUUCACAACAUAUCAUUUAUAAGCAGCAGAUCAAUAACAACUUUUAGGGAGGAAUGAGGCACCUUUGGUCCCAUUAAUGUACCAGCAGACAGGCAUGUAAAUUUUUUUGAUACAUUGUUUAAAUACCAAAAUGUUUUUCUUCUCAUAUCCCUAUUUCCUAGAGUGAGAAAGCUUUGAAUGAAAUGUCUCCAUCAUAGUAAUAAGACUUGACAGGCUAAUUUUGAACUUGGUCUUUGAUUCAGAAAAAAGCUUGGCACAAACUCAGCAAUUUAGAAAAUUACUAACAUAUGAGAACUUGCUUUUAUUGGUGUUUUUCUCAAGUCUGCAAGUCAGUUCUGGUGGAGUCCUGCUUGGCUCAUGACUCAGGGAGUCCCAUGUCUAUGGUCUGUGUGCACAUUGUUUAUUUAUACUUCCUCCACAUCUUUAAUUUUUUAAAUGUAAAAGAAAUUAAGUUAUGGUUUCCCAUUUCAUAGAAUUUUAUUCUGUUGGGAGUCUCAGUAUGUCCUUGAGUUUUGUAGAAUAUAACAGACUUGAAUUUGUAACUUUUGAUACAAUUGUUCAGACGGAAGCCAUCUAUUGGAUCAAAUCUUCUAUCUUAGAAGAAAGCACAAUCUUUGAAGAGUUGUUGAUUGUGGAGCUAUUUAUUACAAGAAUAUAUACCCUUGAUAGUUUCUUCUGGAUUUAUGUACAGAGACAUAGAUGAAUGUUUUCUCCUUAUGGAGGGCGCUUAAGGCAUAGACAAACGCAAAGGUUUUGUCCUUAUGGAGGAUACUUAAAGCAAGUAAGUUAAAUACCAAUGACAACUUCCCAAUUAGAAGGAAUAUGGUUGGGUCAAGAAUAAAAAUUUCCCUUUGGCUUGAGAAGAUUAAAUGAUAUGAUAAGUUCAGUUCCUUGCAGUGGCUUCUCAUGCAGCUGAAGAUAUAGUCUAUCUACAGAGAUGCAGUUAGAUGGUAAAUUAGUGAAUGGAUCUGCAUAUAAUUUGAGGCAAGAGACUCAACUUUGUACUGAAUUAUUUUCUCUAUGAUUAAAACUCACUCGAGCAGGUGACAACUCUGUCAGGUCAGGAAUGGACUGACAAUGAAAAAGUAAAAAUGAAUUGAAAUAAUAUACUAACAAAUCAACAAAAUGACCUUUCAGUUCAGCUUCAUUGACUGUUCAAAUUUUACAAUAACCCAAGGAUUAUUUAUUAAAUAUUUACAUAAUAUUGCAUCCACCUUUUAAUCCAUAGGGGUUAUAAUGAGACCAAGCAGGCCUCUAAAUUUUUCAAAUUUCUCUCUUCAAAGCGCUUUUGUUAGGAUAUCCAUUGAUUGAUCUGAAGUUGGACAGUGGAUCAA